rnacentral:rRNA from 1 species
CAAUAGCGUAUAUUUAAGUUGUUGCAGUUAAAAAGCUCGUAGUUGGAUUUCGGAUGGGACUUGCCGGUCCGUCGUUUCGAUGUGCACUGGCCAGUCCUAUCUUGUUGUCGGGGACUAGCUCCUGGGCUUCACUGUCCGGGACUAGGAGCUGACGAGGUUACUUUGAGUAAAUUAGAGUGUUCAAAGCAAGCCUACGCUCUGAAUACAUUAGCAUGGAAUAACACGAUAGGACUCUGGCUUAUCUUGUUGGUCUGUGAGAACAGAGUAAUGAUUAAGAGGGACAGUCGGGGGCAUUCGUAUUUCAUUGUCAGAGGUGAAAUUCUUGGAUUUAUGAAAGACGAACUUCUGCGAAAGCAUUUGUCAAGGAUGUUUUCAUUAA